GGGUCGGAACUUCGGUUCCGGCUUACGUGGCGCACGGGUGAGUAACACGUGGGAAUCUGCCCAUCUAUGGGGAAUAACUGCGGGAAACUGCAGCUAAUACCGCAUACGCCCUUCGGGGGAAAGGCUUCGGCCGUAGAUGGAUGAGCCCGCGUCCGAUUAGCUAGUUGGUGGGGUAAUGGCCUACCAAGGCGACGAUCGGUAGCUGGUCUGAGAGGAUGAUCAGCCACACUGGGACUGAGACACGGCCCAGACUCCUACGGGAGGCAGCAGUGGGGAAUAUUGGACAAUGGGCGAAAGCCUGAUCCAGCAAUGCCGCGUGAGUGAUGAAGGUCUUCGGAUUGUAAAGCUCUUUCGACGGGGAAGAUAAUGACGGUACCCGUAGAAGAAGCCCCGGCUAACUUCGUGCCAGCAGCCGCGGUAAUACGAAGGGGGCUAGCGUUGUUCGGAUUUACUGGGCGUAAAGCGUGCGUAGGCGGCUUAUCAAGUCAGAAGUGAAAGCCCGGGGCUCAACUCCGGAAUGGCUUUUGAGACUGGUAGGCUGGAGUUCGGGAGAGGGUAGUGGAAUUCCCAGUGUAGAGGUGAAAUUCGUAGAUAUUGGGAAGAACACCGGUGG
rnacentral:rRNA from 1 species